rfam:Ictidomys tridecemlineatus contig072141, whole genome shotgun sequence.
GGAGUUGUGGCUCAGCGGUAGAGCACUCGCCUAGCAUGUGCGAGGCCCUGGGUUCAAUCCUCAGCACCA